GAUGAACGCUGGCGGCGUGCCUAAUACAUGCAAGUCGAGCGAACGGACGAGAAGCUUGCUUCUCUGAUGUUAGCGGCGGACGGGUGAGUAACACGUGGAUAACCUACCUAUAAGACUGGGAUAACUUCGGGAAACCGGAGCUAAUACCGGAUGAUAUUUUGAACCGCAUGGUUCAAAAGUGAAAGACGGUCUCGCUGUCACUUAUAGAUGGAUCCGCGCUGCAUUAGCUAGUUGGUAAGGUAACGGCUUACCAAGGCAACGAUGCAUAGCCGACCUGAGAGGGUGAUCGGCCACACUGGAACUGAGACACGGUCCAGACUCCUACGGGAGGCAGCAGUAGGGAAUCUUCCACAAUGGGCGAAAGCCUGACGGAGCAACGCCGCGUGAGUGAUGAAGGUCUUCGGAUCGUAAAACUCUGUUAUUAGGGAAGAACAUAUGUGUAAGUAACUGUGCACAUCUUGACGGUACCUAAUCAGAAAGCCACGGAUAACUACGUG
rnacentral:rRNA from 1 species